rnacentral:lncRNA from 1 species
CACUGGGGUCUGAGGAAAAGAGACAGUGUGAUCCGCUCCAGUGAAUGGGGAAGCAGGAGAGGGUCAGAAACCUGAAUGGGUCAGCCCAGAAUCCAGCAUUGCCAACACAUCCCUGGCCCUCCCCUCCUGCCCAGGUGACAGGUGUGGCAUAUGCUGGUCCUCAGCCCUGCCCAGGAGACAGUUGUGGUGUCUGUGGGUCUUCAGCCCUGCCCAGGUGACAGGUGUGGUGUGUGCUGGUCUUCAGCUGUGCCCAAGAGACAGUUGUGGUGUGCACGGGUCCUCAGCCCUGCCCAGGUGACAGGUGUGCUGUGUGCUGGUCCUCAGCCCUGCCCAGGUGACAGGCGUGCUGUGUGCUGGUUCUCAGCCCUGCCCAGGUGACAGGUGUGCUGUGCACGCGUCCUCAGCUAUACACAGGUGUCAGGCGUGAUGCGUGUGGGUCCUCAGCCCUGCCCAGGUGACAGGUGUGCUGUGCACGCGUCCUCAGCUAUACACAGGUGUCAGGCGUGAUGCGUGUGGGUCCUCAGCCCUGCCCAGGUGACAGGUGUGCUGUGUGCUGAUCCUCAGCCCUGUCCAGGUGACAGGUGUGGUGUGUGCGGGUCCUCAGCCGUGCCCAGGUGACAGGUGUGCUGUGUGUGGGUCCUCACCCUGCCCAGGUGACAGUUGUGCUGUGUGUGGGUCCUCACCCUGCCCAGGUGACAGUUGUGCUGUGUGCAGGUCCUCACCCACCCAGGUGACAGGUGUGGUGUACACGGGUCCUCAGCCGUGCCCAGGUGACAGGUGUGGUGUACGUGGGUCCUCAGCCCUGCCCAGGUGAUAGGUGUGGUGUGCGCGGGUCCUCAGCCGUGCCCAGGUGACAGGUGUGCUGUGUGCAGGUCCUCACCCAGCCAGGUGACAGGUGUGGUGUACACGGGUCCUCAGCCGUGCCCAGGUGACAGGUGUGGUGUACGUGGGUCCUCAGCCCUGUCCAGGUGGCAGGUGUCCUGUGUGUGGGUCCUCACCCUGCCCAGGUGACAGGUGUGCUGUGCACGCGUCCUCAGCUAUACACAGGUGUCAGGCGUGAUGCGUGUGGGUCCUCAGCCCUGCCCAGGUGACAGGUGUGCUGUGUGCUGAUCCUCAGCCCUGCCCAGGUGACAGGUGUGCUGUGUGCUGAUCCUCAGCCCUGUCCAGGUGACAGGUAUGGUGUGCGCGGGUCCUCAGCCCUGCCCAGGUGACAGGUGUGCUGUGUGUGGGUCCUCUGCCCUGCCCAGGUGAUAGGUGUGGUGUGCAUGAGUCCUCAGCCCUGCCCAGGUGACAGGUGUCCCGUGUGCUGGUCCUCAGCUGUGCCCAGGCUUGGGCUGUGGGUGCCGCCCGUUCCCAGUGGACAUGGAAUCCU